GAACGCCAUAUGAAAGGAAACUUUCACGUAUGGUGUGAAGUGUGGGAAAAUUUAGAGACAAUCUCAAAUAGUUAACUAUCACUAU
rnacentral:ncRNA from 1 species